rnacentral:rRNA from 1 species
GACAGAGGGUGCAAACGUUGCUCGGAAUUACUGGGCGUAAAGCGCGUGUAGGCGGAUACGCAAGUCAGAUGUGAAAGCCCUGGGCUCAACCUAGGAAUUGCAUCUGAAACUGCGAAUCUAGAGUACUAGAGAGGGAAGUGGAAUUCCUGGUGUAGAGGUGAAAUUCGUAGAUAUCAGGAGGAACAUCGGUGGCGAAGGCGGCUUCCUGGAGAGUAACUGACGCUGAGACGCGAAAGCGUGGGGAGCAAACAGG